rnacentral:rRNA from 1 species
CCUACGGGUGGCAGCAGUAGGGAAUCUUCCACAAUGGGCGAAAGCCUGAUGGAGCAACGCCGCGUGGGUGAAGAAGGUCUUCGGAUCGUAAAACCCUGUUGUUAGAGAAGAAAGGGCGUGAGAGUAACUGUCCACGAUUCGACGGUAUCUAACCAGGAAGCCACGGCUAACUACGUGCCAGCAGCCGCGGUAAUACGUAGGGGGCAAGCGUUAUCCGGAUUUACUGGGCGUAAAGGGAACGUAGGCGGUAUUUUAAGUCUGAUGUGAAAGCCUUCGGCUUAACGGGAGUAGUGCAUUGGAAACUGGGAGACUGUAGUGCAGAAGAGGAGAGUGGAACGCCAUGUGU